CCUCGACCUGAGUUCAGGCAGGGACACCC
rnacentral:rRNA from 1 species